AGUCCUGAAGUACCCCAAGUUUUCCAAAGUCAAUGUCAUCAAUGGAAUUCUUAUGACCGUGGUCUUUUUCAUCGUGCGGAUCAUCGCGAUACCUCCAAUGUACUUCUACGUUUACUCCGUGUACGGAACAGAACCCUACAUAAGGCUUGGAUCUGUAGUCCAUUUUGUCUGGAUCUCUUCUUGUAUUGUUUUAGAUGUGAUGAACAUCAUGUGGAUGAUCAAAAUCACAAAAGGAUGCAUGAAAGUCAUCUCUCUCAUCAGACAAGAGAAAGCCAAGGACAGCCUUCAGAAUGGAAAACUCGAUUAAAGGCGGCUUCAUCAGACAGCUGUGUCCACAGACCAUCUUCAUUCCGCUGUCUUGUCUGAUAGGACGAGUUCUGUGCCGGCCGCUGUCAGGCAGUGUUGUUACUGUGGCGCUCUCAGUGUUUUCGUUUCUCCUUUCUUUCCUCUUUAGACAGGAGAAAAUGCAAUUUAGUUCUCAUUUCAGGAUUUCUUCUUUGCUUCUAUAUUUUUAGGCAUGGAUGGAAAUCGAAAGGUUUAAAUAAAAGUUGUAAGUAGAGUGGUAA
rnacentral:lncRNA from 1 species